UCGCGAGACUUCCCUGAGGCGUUGCCCCGGCAACGGCUGGAGGAAGGCCUGGCUGAGGCGGCUUCUCUCCUCAGCCGUUUUUUCUCUCUCCCUCCCUCCCUAUCCGCCUCUUUUCUCGGCUUGAGGGGAGGCGAAGCGGCCAGGCGUCGUUGCCAUGGAAGUCGAAGGGGCUUCUGAUUUUCCGCGGUCGGCGGUCUGCUUUUACCCCUUCAGCCGCCUCAGUCAGAAAUGGAGAGGAGGGGGGGACCCGACCCCCUCUCAGCGCCCCCCACCCCAAAGAAAAGCAUUGUUGUCGUUUAGUCGUUUAGUCGUGUCCGCCUCUUCGUGACCCCCUGGACCAGAGCACGCCAGGCACUCCUGUCUUCCACUGCCUCCCGCAGUUUGGUCAAACUCAUGUUUGUAGCUUCGAGAACACUGUCCCACCAUCUCGUCCUCUGUCGUCCCCUUCUCCUUGUGCCCUCCAUCUUUCCCAACAUCAGGGUCUUUUCCAGGGAGUCUUCUCUUCUCAUGAGGUGGCCAAAGUACUGGAGUCUCAGCUUUAGGAUCUGUCCUUCCAGUGAGCACCCAGGGCUGAUUUCCUUCAGAAUGGAUAGGUUUGAUCUUCUUGCAGUCCAUGGGACUCUCAAGAGUCUCCUCCAGAACCAGAAUUCAAAAGCAUCAAUUCUUCGGCGAUCAGCCUUCUUUAUGGUCCAGCUCUCACUUCCAUACAGCACUACUGGGAAAACCAACCAAGAAAAGCAUUGCCCUCCCCUAUUAUAGCGCUUUGAGGGGGGCUUAAAGCGCUUCUCCGUUAUCCUUACAGCAGCCCCGCAAGGCAGGACGGCGUUUUCCCAACGGAUUAUUCACGCUCACGUUUCAGAGGAACAAAAACAGUAACGUUUGCCUUGAAUUAGGCACCCUCUUCCAUUGUCUCCCCAGACAGACGGAUAACCACAACAACAUGCCACGGAGCUCAUGCCUCCCUCCCCAGAAGGCUCCUCCCUUCCAUCCUUGCACAACAGCCCCGCGAGGGAGGCCAGUCUGACAGCUGAAGUUGGCACCCGGGGUCCCUCAGUUUGCUUCCACUCAAUGAAUGUGCUUUGUUAAGAACAUAAGAAGAGCAUCGGCUCGAUCUAGUCCAGCAUCCUGUUCUCAUCGUGGCCGACCAGAUGCCUGCGGGGAACUUGGCCAUGGCUUGGGAAAGGCUGCGGCCAAGCAGCAGCAGCAUCCCAGUGGUGCCAUGGGGAAACCCAGAAUUUGCAAGUAUGCUGUGACCUUCUGUGGCAGGGGAAGUGUUUCCCAGUCAUCUUGCCAGCUGGAGGAGGCCUGAUUUCUAUAUUCCUAUAGUUUUACGGGAAGUGUUUAUCUGUGGUCCACCUGGGCAGGACAAGGACCUCUCCCAUGCCAACACCACAUCCCAAGAUUGGGCCUGGGCAGUUUUAGGAUGGCACGACCAGUGUGCUUACACUGGGCAUCACGCUGCAGAGGGUGCCAAAACAAUGCUGAAGAGCAAGAGGGAAGGGUGCUGAAUUUUAGCAUUGCACAGGGCACCUUUUAAAUUUGAGAGCCCAAUGUCCACUCUGGUUGGGAAUGCUUCUGUGGAGAUGAAUCCCAGAAUUCUCCCCACCCACAUUCUUCCUAUAAAAAAGCAAAAAAUAUCAAUGUUUGGUUCAGAAUCUAGGUACUACACCCUCACUAAAGGCGAUUGUAUGAAUGAUUCACUAAAUGAUGACAUGUGUAGCUG